UACGUAGGGUGCAAGCGUUGUCCGGAAUUAUUGGGCGUAAAGAGCUCGUAGGCGGUUUGUCGCGUCUGCUGUGAAAACUCGGGGCUUAACUCCGGGCCUGCAGCGGGUACGGGCAGACUAGAGUGCGGUAGGGGAGACUGGAAUUCCUGGUGUAGCGGUGAAAUGCGCAGAUAUCAGGAGGAACACCGGUGGCGAAGGCGGGUCUCUGGGCCGUAACUGACGCUGAGGAGCGAAAGCGUGGGGAGCGAACAGG
rnacentral:rRNA from 1 species